AGGGAGUAUUGGUACCGGGCAGAGGCUGCGGUCCCACCUCCAAUGCCUCGGGGGUGGCUGCAGCCGCCGGUCCGGGCACAGCGGCCACACGGUGUCACCCGCGUCCCACCGCCGGGCUCCGACAGGGCAGAGCAGCGAUGCUCUCCGGUGAGCGCUCCGGAACAAGGAAGCGCUGCCGGCCUGGAAUCGCAACCCCUUUUUCACGGCGUUUUUGAGAGCUAGGAUGCUGCCAAGUUUUUCCACCUGUUCUUUCCUUCCCCAUCCAUGAGAAAGUCUCCCAGGAGAGGAAUUACCACGGUCCAGUGCAGCCACAAGCAGGUUAAAAAGAAGGAUCCCAGUCCUGCUGCUGAUGGGUCUCCAGACAGCUUGGGUGUAACUUUCCACUUGGAUGUUCACAGUGUUUGGGAUACAGGAAGGGAAUCUGACUCAUAAAGAAACAUAAAGUGCAAUUGAGUUCCCACUUACUUCAGUGGAAGAAUUGAUGUGCCCAAGGUCAGAGAGAAAGUCGAUAGCGGAGCUGGGGAAAAGAAGCAGGAGUUUUGAAGCCAGUGCCUUUCAUGCAGCCACCAGACAGCCCUCCCUUUGCUGAGCGAUCCAAGCCCAAGGCCAAAUAAAUCUCCAGCGUAAUCCCAAUUGUCAGGAGGCAUGUGGUCUCCUGAGGCACCAGACGUGUGUGAGAACAUGGAGAUGAGAGCUUUGAUGUGCCUUUGAGAGAACACUGGAAGAAACAGAGCAGAUACGGGAACUUCUCCAAUGGGAUGAACAGCUCUGAGAAGCAGCCUGGAGGAUACAUACAUGAUGGACCAUGCACUCCUGAGCCUGGCACAGCCUUCGGGGAGGGAGAUGCUCUGGCAAUGGGGAUGCAGCCUCUGACACCACCUAAAACAUGGUGUGUCAGCUGCUUCGUAACACAGCUCUUCUUGUCCUCUAUGCAGAUCUGCUUUCCUGCAAAGAGAACAAAGACAUCGUUUGUCCAGAGAAAGGUUUCUUCCAUCAAGCUCAGACACAUCCUGAAAGAAGUGCAUGAAGACUUGCAUGAGUUGGUGAUUGUGGAGACACUAAAAAGGUGAUGCUCACCAUGUCCUCUCCUGUUGGAAGCAGUAGCCUCAAAAUCCGCCCCCUCACCACCAUCCAAAGCCUCAAGCUAAGUAAGAGCAAUGCCAGGGCAGAUGGCUGCACAGCAGGGCUCUCAGCGUCACUGCUCACUCUUCCCCUACAUGCCCUGUCCUGCUCAGCAGUUUUCCCAUGAACUUAUCUGAGCGGCACUCUUUGCUUUGUGCUAUGAAAAUCAAAGAUGAGGUGUCCUGAAUGAAAAGCUCACAGUUACCACGAGGUCUGCCUCUCAAUGCGCUGGGAAUAGAAAUGUGGCAAUCAGACUUUGGGAUGAAAUCAUAUUGGACAUGCUGGCUUAAUCUCUAAAGUAUGAAAUUGUAAGGAAGGAAUUACAGCUAAAAAACAUUUCACAUUUUAGAAAGCUUCUCUGACCCAUGCUGGAUCAGGAGAGAGAAGGAAAAGAGGGUAAAAAAAAAAAAAAACCAACAACCCCAAACCUGUGGAAUUCAAAUGACUGUAGCCAUUUGGGUUAGAAAAAAUCCAUCAUCAAAUAAACAGACUCCUGCACUUGUACUGUGAUGCACGACUGUGUUUGUAAAGGAAAAGGCUGACUUUGGCUUAUUUCAAUUCUCAGGAUCAGGUUAUUUGCUAUUUGCAAAUACUUGGGUGUUAGCUUCAUGUAUCUUAGCCCAGUUCAUCUCACAAUCGUGUUUAUGUUAGAUAUGGUACAGUACUGAGCUAGCUGCUCUUCCAGUACACCUUUAUUUAGCUGGGCCAUCAGAGAGAAGAAACAAUAGCCCAUAGAUAGCCAGCUGCAGAAGAUGAAUUAUAAGCAGAAAAAUAAUCAUCAAGCAAUUUGUGGGUUCCUUGCUGGAAGACAUUUGCAAUUCAAUGAAUAUUAUCUAAUGUACAUCCAAAACCAGAGACUCUCGCUCUUCUAUUCCAUGAGUUGCAAAAAACAGCAACAACAACAAAAAACAACCAAACACCCAAAUUUUAGAAAACUGUAUUAUUCACGUCAUCAUAAAGAGAAAGGAGGACUGGGACAACAGUGGCGAUGAGUACUGCCACACUCGAUGGCACACCUUGA
ensembl:lncRNA